CACGUAGGGCGCAAGCGUUGUCCGGAAUCAUUGGGCGUAAAGCGCACGUAGGCGGUCUGUUAUGUCGGAUGUGAAAGCCCUCGGCUUAACUGAGGAAGUGCAUCCGAAACUGGCAGGCUAGAGUACUAAAGAGGGUCGCGGAAUUCCCGGUGUAGAGGUGAAAUUCGUAGAUAUCGGGAGGAACACCGGUGGCGAAGGCGGCGACCUGGGUAGAUACUGACGCUGAGGUGCGAAAGCGUGGGGAGCAAACAGG
rnacentral:rRNA from 1 species